GCAUAGGUAGCUCAGAUGGUAGAGCGGAAGGCUUCAUCACCUUCAAGGUCGUAGGUUCGAGCCCUACCCUAUGCCCA
rnacentral:tRNA from 1 species